rnacentral:rRNA from 1 species
UUAAGUUAAUAAGGGCGCACGGUGGAUGCCUUGGCACUAGGAGCCGACGAAGGACGUGACAAACGACGAUAUGCCUUGGGUAGCUGUAAGUAAGCGAUGAUCCAGGGAUUUCCGAAUGGGGGAACCCAACAGGUAAUACCUGUUACCUACAUCUGUUAAGGAUGUGAGGAGGAAGACGCAGUGAACUGAAACAUCUAAGUAGCUGCAGGAAGAGAAAGCAAAAGCGAUUGCCUUAGUAGCGGCGAGCGAAACGGCAGAAGGGCAAACCGAAGAGUUUACUCUUCGGGGUUGUAGGACUGCAAUGUGGACUCAAAGAUUAUAGAAGAAUGAUUUGGGAAGAUCAGCCAAAGAGAGUAAUAGCCUCGUAUUUAAAAUAGUCUUUGUACUUAGCAGUAUCCUGAGUACGGCGGGACACGUGAAAUCCCGUCGGAAUCUGGGAGGACCAUCUCCCAACCCUAAAUACUCCCUAGUGACCGAUAGUGAACCAGUACCGUGAGGGAAAGGUGAAAAGCACCCCGGGAGGGGAGUGAAAUAGAACCUGAAACCGUGUGCCUACAACAAGUUACGAGCCCGUUAAUGGGUGAGAGCCGUGCCUUUUGUAGAAUGAACCCGGCGAGUUACGUUAAUGAUGCCGAGGUUAAGUUGAAGAGACGGAGCCGUAGGGAAACCGAGUCUGAAUAGGGCGCCUUAGUAUCAUGACGUAGACCCGAAACCAUGUGACCUACCCAUGAGCAGGUUGAAGGUGCGGUAAGACGCACUGGAGGACCGAACCAGGGCACGUUGAAAAGUGCUUGGAUGACUUGUGGGUAGCGGAGAAAUUCCAAACGAACUUGGAGAUAGCUGGUUCUCUCCGAAAUAGCUUUAGGGCUAGCGUCGACAUUAGAGAUUCUUGGAGGUAGAGCACUGUUUGGGUGGGGGGUCCAUCCCGGAUUACCAAUCUCAGAUAAACUCCGAAUGCCAAUGAAUUAUGGUCGGCAGUCAGACUGCGAGUGCUAAGAUCCGUAGUCGAAAGGGAAACAGCCCAGACCACCAGCUAAGGUCCCAAAAUAAUUGUUAAGUGGAAAAGGAUGUGGGGUUGCACAGACAACUAGGAUGUUAGCUUAGAAGCAGCUAUUCAUUCAAAGAGUGCGUAAUAGCUCACUAGUCGAGUGACCCUGCGCCGAAAAUGUACCGGGGCUAAAACAAUUUACCGAAGCUGUGGAUACCUUUAUAGGUAUGGUAGGAGAGCGUUCUAUGUGUGAUGAAGGUAUACCGUGAGGAGUGCUGGAACGCAUAGAAGUGAGAAUGCCGGUAUGAGUAGCGAAAGACAGGUGAGAAUCCUGUCCACCGUAAGACUAAGGUUUCCAGGGGAAGGCUCGUCCGCCCUGGGUUAGUCGGGACCUAAGGAGAGACCGAAAGGUGUAUCCGAUGGACAACAGGUUGAUAUUCCUGUACUAGAGUAUGUAGUGAUGGAGGGACGCAGUAGGCUAACUAAAGCAGACGAUUGGAAGAGUCUGUCUAAGCAGUGAGGUGUGAAUUGAGUCAAAUGCUUAAUUCUAUAACAUUGAGCUGUGAUGGGGAGCGAAGUUUAGUAGCGAAGAUAGUGACGUCACACUGCCAAGAAAAGCUUCUAGCGUUUAAAACAUACUCUACCCGUACCGCAAACCGACACAGGUAGUCGAGGCGAGUAGCCUCAGGUGAGCGAGAGAACUCUCGUUAAGGAACUCGGCAAAAUGACCCCGUAACUUCGGGAGAAGGGGUGCUGACUUAAAGUCAGCCGCAGUGAAUAGGCCCAAGCAACUGUUUAUCAAAAACACAGCUCUCUGCUAAAUCGUAAGAUGAUGUAUAGGGGGUGACGCCUGCCCGGUGCUGGAAGGUUAAGAGGAGUGCUUAGCGUAAGCGAAGGUAUGAAUUGAAGCCCCAGUAAACGGCGGCCGUAACUAUAACGGUCCUAAGGUAGCGAAAUUCCUUGUCGGGUAAGUUCCGACCCGCACGAAAGGCGUAAUGAUUUGGGCACUGUCUCAACGAGAGACUCGGUGAAAUUUUAGUACCUGUGAAGAUGCAGGUUACCCGCGACAGGACGGAAAGACCCCAUGGAGCUUUACUGCAGUUUGAUAUUGAGUGUCUGUACCACAUGUACAGGAUAGGUAGGAGUCUAAGAGAUCGGGACGCCAGUUUCGAAGGAGACGCUGUUGGGAUACUACCCUUGUGUUAUGGCCACUCUAACCCAGAUAGGUGAUCCCUAUCGGAGACAGUGUCUGACGGGCAGUUUGACUGGGGCGGUCGCCUCCUAAAAGGUAACGGAGGCGCCCAAAGGUUCCCUCAGAAUGGUUGGAAACUCAUUCGCAGAGUGUAAAGGUAUAAGGGAGCUUGACUGCGAGAGCUACAACUCGAGCAGGGACGAAAGUCGGGCUUAGUGAUCCGGUGGUUCCGUAUGGAAGGGCCAUCGCUCAACGGAUAAAAGCUACCCUGGGGAUAACAGGCUUAUCUCCCCCAAGAGUCACAUCGACGGGGAGGUUUGGCACCUCGAUGUCGGCUCGUCGCAUCCUGGGGGCUGUAGUCGGUCCCCAAGGGUUGGGCUGUUCGCCCAUUAAAGCGGCACGCGAGCUGGGUUCAGAACGUCGUGAGACAGUUCGGUCCCUAUCCGUCGCGGGCGUAGGAAAUUUGAGAGGAUCUGCUCCUAGUACGAGAGGACCAGAGUGGACUUACCGCUGGUGUACCAGUUGUCUUGCCAAAGGCAUCGCUGGGUAGCUAUGUAGGGAAGGGAUAAACGCUGAAAGCAUCUAAGUGUGAAACCCACCUCAAGAUGAGAUUUCCCAUGAUUAUAUAUCAGUAAGAGCCCUGAGAGAUGAUCAGGUAGAUAGGUUAGAAGUGGAAGUGUGGCGACACAUGUAGCGGACUAAUACUAAUAGCUCGAGGACUUAUCCAA